rnacentral:rRNA from 1 species
UGGGGAAUAUUGCACAAUGGGCGCAAGCCUGAUGCAGCCAUGCCGCGUGUAUGAAGAAGGCCUUCGGGUUGUAAAGUACUUUCAGCGAGGAGGAAGGCAUUAAGGUUAAUAACCUUAGUGAUUGACGUUACUCGCAGAAGAAGCACCGGCUAACUCCGUGCCAGCAGCCGCGGUAAUACGGAGGGUGCAAGCGUUAAUCGGAAUUACUGGGCGUAAAGCGCACGCAGGCGGUCUGCAUCAAGUCGGAUCGGUGAAAUCCCCGGGCUCAACCUGGG